rnacentral:rRNA from 1 species
GAAAGAUGAUCAGGUUGAUAGGUCUGAGGUGGAAGUGUGGCGACACAUGGAGCUGACAGAUACUAAUCGAUCGAGGACUUAACCUAA